AUAAUGGAGAGUUUGAUCCUGGCUCAGGACGAACGCUGGCGGCGUGCCUAAUACAUGCAAGUCGAGCGGAACCAGAGGAGCUUGCUCCUUCUGGUUUAGCGGCGGACGGGUGAGUAACACGUGGGCAACCUGCCCUGCAGAUCGGGAUAACUCCGGGAAACCGGUGCUAAUACCGAAUAGUUUUGGGUCCCUCCUGGGACCCAACGGAAAGACGGUUUCGGCUGUCACUGCAGGAUGGGCCCGCGGCGCAUUAGCUA
rfam:Planomicrobium glaciei strain CGMCC 1.6846 genome assembly, contig: Ga0070170_104